CUCCUGUGCGGAUUAGAACACCUUGAGGGCAGAGGCCAUGUCUGGUCUUCUUUGAAUUCAUGUCCCAAGCAAAGAUCCUGGCAAUGUUUCCUCACACUCAGUGUUUCAUUGAAUUAUGAAUCACCUAGUGUGUAGUUCACCUUUCUAACCCGUCCUCCCCAAGGGAGACCUGACAUGCUGGGGAGAUCUGAUAUGUCAGCAUCCCUUAAAUACCCUAAAACUCUUGGCUCAGCCUCAUCAUGGACUCUCAGAUAAAAUUAAACACUCAGCAAACCCUUAGGAAAGAGAUUCUUACCCUCUCUUAUCCUCCUUGCCCAAUUCUUUCCUGCCCUGUCCUUCUCUUGCCUGCCACAGUGGGGUGAUGGCAAUCCCCAUGGCUGAUGAUCUGACACAGACAUGCCGUGAAUAUUAUGUUCCUCCUUCCUGAAAUGCUGUGCCUACCCUGAAUAUCUGGGAAACUUCUCCUUCAAGACUCAAUUUAUGCAUCACCUCCUCUGGAAGGCCCUCCCUGAAGAUACGUGUACAAGAUGUAAACCUCCAUUGAACUGCAGUGUCUCUGACUGGGAGAUUUUGGUAUUUUCUCAGUUCAGUUAUGAAUGAACCUGCUGCACUCUUCAACUUCCAGACCAGGACUUCAGACUUCUCCCUGUGUUCUCUAUCUCACUAUGGCAACGGUUAUUUUAAAUUCUGUCUUCCCUUAACCAUUCUCCAUUUUCUCUGUGUGAGGGAAACAGGUUCACAAGAGCAGACCAUUGCUGGUCUUCUUGAAGGCAUCCUAUGUGGCGUCGUGGCUGUGCUAUUCUUCCUGGGAGCUGGACUGUACUUUUGGAAGACAUAUAAGAAGGAAAGGAACACAGAGACUGAAAGAGGAGCAGCAUUGCAGGAGGACCACAGGAACCAAGAUGAUGGCGAUUGGGCAGAGCAGAGCCAGGAAGAGUAUCAACAAGGCAUGUACCAGAGUAUCAGUGCACAACGUAUGGAACAAGAGUUGCCUCUCAACACUGUCUACUUUGCACAACAUCUGGAACAAGAGUUGCCUCUCAACACUGUCUACUCUGCGAUCCAGAACAUACCUGUGAGGGUAUGA
rnacentral:lncRNA from 1 species